UACGAAGGGGGCUAGCGUUGCUCGGAAUCACUGGGCGUAAAGGGUGCGUAGGCGGGUCUUUAAGUCAGGGGUGAAAUCCUGGAGCUCAACUCCAGAACUGCCUUUGAUACUGACGGUCUUGAGUCCGGGAGAGGUGAGUGGAACUGCGAGUGUAGAGGUGAAAUUCGUAGAUAUUCGCAAGAACACCAGUGGCGAAGGCGGCUCACUGGCC
rnacentral:rRNA from 1 species